rnacentral:lncRNA from 1 species
GGGUGGUGGUCUGUGCUGCUUUGUGGUGGGUGAGUGCCCAGGAUUCCUGCCUGUAUCCAGUGCUCUCUGAUGUGGGGCUGCUACCUGUGCCACCUACCUGCGCUGUGACUUGGCUUCCCAUCCUACAGAAGGGGAGCCUUCUCAGUUUCUCGGGUGCAAAACCCAAGCUUUGGACAACGGCAGAAGCAGUCAAUUAUGUUCUCACUCUGUCUGCUUUGGAAGUCCUGGAGUGUGCUGGUGUGACCACAGCCGUAGGAGCGGGGCGGUUCGGGAUAAAUCAGAAACAAAAGGGCCAUUAUCCAUAUGGGACCCCAUGAGCGCACCGCAUACCCCAGCAAUCCCGAGCACUCUGUGUACGGUUCUCGCUUGGUUUUAACUCAAUUUCUUUGAGAUGCAAAUUAGAGGGAUUAUAUUCAGAGGCUACAUCAGAAAGUCUUUAAUCCAAAUGGGCUAUAAGAUUUAUUUGGAAGAGCCAAAUGUCUUGUCUGGGACAGAAGCAACCGAGCUGAACUGAAACAGAUGGACAUAAAGGAAAUUAAGCAACUCUAAUGGUCUUAUCCAGAGUUUCAAAGUAUUUGGUCUUCGGAAAGCUCCAGCUCCUGGAAGCACGUGAUGAGACGGGGAGCUCAAGUUUCAUUUCAAAACAGGCUUUGCAGUUCACUGAGAAAGACAAUAAUAAUGUUUUUAUUCCUCCUGUGUACGGAGGGAAGGCUGCCUUCCAAACCCCGGCUCCUCAGCUCAGCUCAUGACGUCAGAUGGAAGCGUAUUGCACAACGUUUGCAUUCCUCGUCUUCAUCACAGUGUGGUUAUUUCUGUGGGCUGGAUUUGGGAUUUUGGAAGGCUGAUGGUUCUUGGGGUGCCGGGAGGUGGUCCUCCUCAUCUCUGCAAGGGGAAAGCAUCUGCAGCCUGAGCAGUGAGCAGCAGCAGCCCUCCUGCUUGCAGCUGCACCAUGCCCUGCUUGGCUCAGUGCUGAGUACCCGGAGCAGAGGAGCUUCACGUGUCUGCACGUUUGCCAUCCUUCACCCCAGUGCUUUUGGAUUCGGAUUAAAUAAAAGGGGAUGCGUGGUGGUUGGGGCAUUGGCAUCAACCUAUGGAACAGCCGUUGCGGUGCAGGGCUUGGGAAGGAAGCCACCACCUCCUUCAGCUCCUCCCAUUGAUCUGGACUGGGGAAGGCUCAGCUCCCACCCUGUGCUCGGUGUCCCAGUCCCACAGUGACCAUCCUCAGACCCAGCGCCGUCACCAGGAGCGGAGCAUUGCCCUUCACACACCAUUAUUCCUCACUCCCCAGAGCCUUUUUGUCUCUUAUCAGCAGUGACCCCCGGGCUCUGUUAUCUCCCCCCAGCCAUCCACCCAAGCCAUAGAGCUGUCAGCGUGGGGAAUGACCUUCACCUCCUCGCUCACCUCCAGGAGAUGCUGUGUCCGCUCGGCCGGCUGCGUGGUUGGCUGCAGCAGCACUGCCUGCUGCCCGGAGCCAGGCAAAUGGGAGCUGAAGAGCUACAACAGGAGCCUCUGCAGCCCACAUGCCAGCAGCAGAUCUGUUUUCUGACUGACCCAACAGCAGGGCCCUUCUUGGGACUGGCUAAACGUGGUUACUGAUGCCUACUAAGUAGCUUCUUCCAUGUGCUUGGGUGAAUAAAUUACCCUACAGCUUCCAUCAUCUCGAAGGGCUUGAGCGCAUCCUCUGGCACAAGGCUGGCUUGCAGGAGGAGCAGCCACCAAUGGGAAGGAUGGAGUUAAAUUCCAUAGAGGUGUACAGAGCGGAGAUGGGGUAAGGAGAUGGGUCGGGCAUCAAAGAGAGUGGGCAGGCAAUGUGCAGCUGUAACCAUCCCCACCCAUCGGCAAAACACCCCCUCUAGUAACCCACCAGAGCUCAAAGGCAAGCGAGUGCACGUCUGCGUGGGGGAGCUCCGGGGUGUGCAGCUGGGAGGGAGGAAUGGGCUGCUGGGGGGGCUGGACUGCUGGGCUGGGCUGUGUCCCCAGCUCAGAGCCUCCCCUGGCUGUGGGACAGAGGUUUGUGGUGUUUGGGAAGCAGGAUUUUGGUGCAGGGGACAUCCAGACUCUUGGGUACCAUCCUGCUGAAGGGCACCAGUGUGCCUGCAGCCCUUUAUUCUAGCACCAGGUGCUGGGGAUGCAAUGGGCUUGGACACCUUCGGGGCCAAUGCUCACCAUGACAUUGGGUAUGGGCUGCCAACCUGAAAGUGAGCAGGGCUCUGUAGGAAAGGCAGAAAUUUCUGCUCUGCAUCCCCGUCACAGAGCAGGUGGGGGCCACCUGUGUGUUUCCCAGGUGCUUUUCCACCCUGGGGAGUUGGAGAGGAGGUGGCAGCGUUGUCUGUGGGUUGUUGCUGAACUCGCUCAUGGAUUGCUAAUGAUGUUUGUGAAAGCCUUGAACGAAGACCACACAUGGGAGGCUCAGGCGAGUGAUGUACCUUAGACCUGGAGGGUGCGAGGGAAAAAUGCUUCUGUGCCUGACUCACCGGCUCUGUGCUAACACUGACUCAUAAGUACUGAUUUUGAUUCAGGAAAAAAAAAAAAGAAAAGAUUUAUCUGCAUUCAGACCUAUGGAAGAGGCCAAUGCAACCCGCUAAUGAAGAGGGGAGGUGGUGCUGCUGCGCUGUCCACAGCCCCAUGUGAGGCGUGGGGAGAGCAUGGCAGAUUGGCACUGGGGGCUGUGAUGAGCCCUGGAGAUGGGGAGGGUCCGGUGACCCCCAACCCUGCACAGAGUUGGAUGAGGGAGGGAGAUUUCCUUGGGCCGCAUGGGUACCUCUGGCUCAUUUUCCCAUGGCUUGGCACAGGCAGGCAGCUCUGCAGAUGAAGAUGUCUCACGAGCAGCACGUCGGACCUGAACGCGUGUUUGUGUGGUUCCCCUGCCACCAGCACAACGGGAGCUACACGGCGGCCAGCCAUGCAGAGCCAACAAGAAAAGCCUGCUGAAGAAAGGCACCGGCGCUGACAAUACCCGUUUGCAGGACGGAUUAAGCUUAGAGCAGUGUCUGGGCUUUGUGAAGGGGCAGCUCUGAGCUCCGUGCACGCAGCGUGGUGGCAGGAGGCUACAAAAGCUGGGAUCCCACACAGCCCUAUUGCCAAGCAGUGCUAACCCGGCCCGUGCGAGGCUCAGUCCCCAUCACUG